AGGACCAAGGCAGAAGUGCCAUCAACGAAGCACUUAGUGCCAGCAUAUUGCACAAUCUGUUGUGAAAUAAACUGCACAAUUGAUUAGGCAAUUGAAUUGCAUGGUCUGUGUUCUCUGAGUGUAAUACCAGGCAGAGUUUUGCCUAUGUAACUUUUAUGUCGUACAGCAAUGAAUUGGAUUCUGACCAAUGAACCUGUGAACCCUGCGGAGGAGUCGAGCACAGCAUGGGGAUUUAAAAGAAGGUGCGGUGCCACUCUCUGAAAUUCUGCUGGAGUGGGCUCCAACAGGAAGAAGAGCAAAGGGAAAAUGAAGGAGGAGAGGCAGUGGAAGAUGCAAGCUACACCGCCGACAUGUAGCGCAAAUGAAACCCUUCCCAGUGUAGAGAGAACUGAUGUCAUCUUCCUUUUCUCCUCCUCAAGAGCUUGGUUCAGCCUUUGGAAACCACAGGUUUCAACAGGCAGUGCUUUAACCUUCAUCCAAUAAAGUAGACUUACAAUUA